rnacentral:rRNA from 1 species
CGAACGGGUGAGUAAUACAUCGGAACGUGCCCAGUCGUGGGGGAUAACUACUCGAAAGAGUAGCUAAUACCGCAUACGAUCUGAGGAUGAAAGCGGGGGACCUUCGGGCCUCGCGCGAUUGGAGCGGCCGAUGGCAGAUUAGGUAGUUGGUGGGAUAAAAGCUUACCAAGCCGACGAUCUGUAGCUGGUCUGAGAGGACGACCAGCCACACUGGGACUGAGACACGGCCCAGACUCCUACGGGAGGCAGCAGCC